rnacentral:lncRNA from 1 species
GAAUCAGAAGAAUCCAGGAAUGUGGUUGAUGGUAACCAAAACAGGGAAUCCAGUUGUGUGCGCUCCCUGCACUUCUGAAGCCAGUCUAUUUCUUGCUGUGCUUUUGACACUGUGGUCAGUCCUGGGACAGAUGGAAGAGGCUACUUUGUUGGAGCUUCUACUGGUCAAGGAACUCAGUUUGUUCCAGAACAAGCUGGAUUCACGUCCCCAAGACAGAGAACAGCCCUGGACUGGUGCAGAUAAGAUCAUCCACAGCCAGCAGCCCCUUGGCAAGCCUGAGCUGAGUUCCAACCCCAACCCAAGGGUUUUGGAUGGAAGAUGUUAGGAGGCUUUUCAUGAGGAGGAUCUUCCUAUUCUUCCAGCCAUCAGACUCUGCUUUAUGGAAGAAGCUCCCCACAUCCUGACCAUCACUCUAGUCCCAGCUUCCAGAAACCCAAUAAAUGGUUAGCCAUAAUUUGAGUGAUUGCCA